GUGGCUAUGGCGAAGCGGUUAACGCAUCGGAUUGUGAUUCCGACACACGUGGGUUCGAUCCCCACUAGCCACCCCA
rnacentral:tRNA from 1 species